rnacentral:rRNA from 1 species
UACGGAGGGAGCUAGCGUUGUUCGGAAUUACUGGGCGUAAAGCGCGCGUAGGCGGCUAUUUAAGUCAGAGGUGAAAUCCCGGGGCUCAACCCCGGAACUGCCUUUGAAACUAGAUGGCUAGAAUCCUGGAGAGGCGAGUGGAAUUCCGAGUGUAGAGGUGAAAUUCGUAGAUAUUCGGAAGAACACCAGUGGCGAAGGCGACUCGCUGGACAGGUAUUGACGCUGAGGUGCGAAAGCGUGGGGAGCAAACAGG